rnacentral:rRNA from 1 species
UACGAAGGGGACUAGUGUUAUUCGUCAUGACUGGGCGUAAAGCGUACGUAGGCGGUUGAUUAAGUUUUAAAUAAAAUCCCAAAUUUAAAUGUUGGAAAUGUUUAAAAUACUGAUCGACUAGAGUUUUUAGAGAGAAUAGUGGAAUUUCUAGUAUAGAGGUAAAAUUCGUUAAUAUUAGAAGGAACGCCCGAGGCGAAGGCGACUAUUUGGUUGUAAACUGACGCUAAGGUACGAAAGCAUGGGGAGCAAACAGG